UACGUAGGGUGCGAGCGUUGUCCGGAAUUAUUGGGCGUAAAGAGCUUGUAGGUGGUUUGUCGCGUCUGCUGUGAAAAUCCGAGGCUCAACCUCGGACUUGCAGUGGGUACGGGCAGACUAGAGUGUGGUAGGGGAGACUGGAAUUCCUGGGUGUAGCGGUGGAAUGCGCAGAGUAUCAGGAGGAACACCGAUGGCGAAGGCAGGUCUCUGGGCCAUUACUGACACUGAGAAGCGAAAGCAUGGGGAGCGAACAGG
rnacentral:rRNA from 1 species